CCUACGGGGCGCAGCAGUCGAGAAUCAUUCACAAUGGGGGAAACCCUGAUGGUGCGACGCCGCGUGGGGGAAUGAAGGUCUUCGGAUUGUAAACCCCUGUCAUGUGGGAGCAAAUUAAAAAGAUAGUACCACAAGAGGAAGAGACGGCUAACUCUGUGCCAGCAGCCGCGGUAAUACAGAGGUCUCAAGCGUUGUUCGGAAUCACUGGGCUUAAAGCGUGCGUAGGCGGGUUCGUAAGUCGUGUGUGAAAGGCGCGGGCUCAACCCGCGGACGGCACAUGAUACUGCGAGACUAGAGUAAUGGAGGGGGAACCGGAAUUCUCGGUGUAGCAGUGAAAUGCGUAGAUAUCGAGAGGAACACUCGUGGCGAAGGCGGGUUCCUGGACAUUAACUGACGCUGAGGCACGAAGGCCAGGGGAGCGAAAGGGAUUAGAUACCCUUGUAGUC
rnacentral:rRNA from 1 species